GGUGGCUCUCGUCGAAGCUGCAGAUGCUUCCACAAAGCUACUCUGGCCAAAAAGGAGCCCAGAGUGACAAUUUUCCUUGAUGGUGGCCAUUCUGUUUGCUGUAACUGGUCUGCAACAUUUAGGGAAAAGACAGUU
rnacentral:snoRNA from 1 species